GCGAUGUCUAAGGCAGUCUGCGAAGAGCUGUUCAUUAAUAGCUUGUCACACCUUCAAAAGCAGAAGAAAGAACAAAAUCAUCAAAUGGAAAAUAAAGCUGUGGCCAAUUAUACAGAUGCAGACUUAUAAAUUCAAAGAAUUUUGAGCAUGCUUCUUA